AGCGAACGCUGGCGGUAGGCCUAACACAUGCAAGUCGAACGGCAGCACAGUAAGAGCUUGCUCUUAUGGGUGGCGAGUGGCGGACGGGUGAGGAAUAUAUCGGAAUCUACUUUUUCGUGGGGGUUAACGUAGGGAAACUUAAGCCAAUACCGCAUAUGAUCCACGGGUGAAAGGAGGGGAUCUUUGGACCUUGCGCGAUUGAACGAGCCGGUGUCGGAUUAGCUAGUUGGCGGGGUAAAGGCCCACCAAGGCGACGAUCCGUAGCUGGUCUGAGAGGAUGAUCAGCCACACUGGAACUGAGACACGGUCCAGACUCCUACGGGAGGCAGCAGUGGGGAAUAUUGGACAAUGGGCGCAAGCCUGAUCCAGCCAUACCGCGUGGGUGAAGAAGGCCUUCGGGUUGUAAAGCCCUUUUGUUGGGAAAGAAAAGCAGCAGGUUAAUACCCCGCUGUUCUGACGGUACCCAAAGAAUAAGCACCGGCUAACUUCGUG
rnacentral:rRNA from 1 species